rnacentral:rRNA from 2 species
CAUACCGUAAACGAUGAAUGCUAAGUGUUGGAGGGUUUCCGCCCUUCAGUGCUGCAGCUAACGCAUUAAGCAUUCCGCCUGGGGAGUACGACCGCAAGGUUGAAACUCAAAGGAAUUGACGGGGGCCCGCACAAGCGGUGGAGCAUGUGGUUUAAUUCGAAGCAACGCGAAGAACCUUACCAGGUCUUGACAUCCUUUGACCACUGUAGAGAUACAGCUUUCCCUUCGGGGACAAAGUGACAGGUGG